UCGCCUCACACGCUCCUCCUCCCUAAUCCCCUUGCCUUCUUCUCCUUCUGCGUCCGACGGCGCUGCUGCGCCUCCCUAGUCGCCCCGCCCUUCUCCUUCUCCCUUGCCCCGUCUUCAACCCCACCCAGCAGCUCCCGUUUUUGGCCAGCCCGUGGGGAGGAGCACGGGAGGCCGCCGCCAUCCACGGCUCCUGAUGUGCGCGUCGUCGCGCGGGAAGGAGGCAUCCUUGCCGCAGGUGGAGCUCCGGCGGCCGAGCUGGCUGCAGCGCCGCCGCCUCGCUCUCGCAGAGCACGAGCCGCCGGGAUGAGCCGCAGGCUGCCGCUUGCGCCCCCACCGUGCGAGGACCAGCAGCGCUCGCCAGGGCAGGGCGGUGGAGCACGUACAUCUCAGGCAUCUCUCUCCAUGAGAAGCCCCAUGGAUCCUCUCUCGUUUGUCAUCUCCUUUUACUCAGAUUCUAUUUUAUGUAUGCUGGGAAGGUGUUUGACAUAAUUCAUGCAGGGCAAGAUUGAUCUAUUUCAUAUCUUUACUCUAUUGAUUGCUCAAUAAUUUCGUUCUUCUCUCUGUAAAAAAAUAGCUCUAGUGCGUUCCAAGAUUUUGCAUAAUUUUUUUUGCAUAAAAAUAGCUCAGUGCGUUCCAAGACUUGGUAUUCCAUUGUAGUUCCUGGUCAUCCUCCUCCUCUACAGAACUGAUUGAUGCCCUUAGGAAUAAAUUUUUUUUGUUUCAGCAUAUAUACUUCAGUCCAUAUGUGCAUUAUUUAUUCCUUGGUGUUUUGACAUGACGCUGGAUGGUGGCGAGCAGUUUCAAGGUGCACACGAGCUUCUUCUACUAUUAUUCUGUUAUUGAUGGCACAUCAUGAGAUUUGUCCAACUCCACUUUGUUUGUUCCAUAUAUACGAUGAAUUCAUGGAUUGGGAUAAAUAUUUCCUUCUUUUUUGGUCACGGUUUGGUGUUUCUCAUCUGAACAUGGAUUUAGUAUGUGCCCUUCUGCAUCCAAGCAUACCACUCUGUUCUCACAGGUUAUAUUUUUGUAUUGAAAUAUACUUCAUCACCAAAUACUAUGGCAGUAGGCUGGUUUUGAGUUAUAAAAGGUUCCAACUGUUUUAUUUUCUUUUUCUCAGUAAGGUGUAUGAUUCAUAAAAUAAAAUAAAAUCCUUAUUUGUUUUGUCCAGGAAUGGCACUCUCGACAAGGUCGAUGACAUGCUAGCAUUGGCAACGCAAGUUUAAGUAUUUAUUUCUUAUACCUUCAGAACUUAAACUCAGCUUUGAUGGUACAAUACUGAAGUGUUUGAUGGAUCGUGGAUUCGAUUUAAUUGAUGCAAGCUUGUAUGGUCCUUGGGAUUUUUAGUGAUGGCCAUUAUAUUGUGCCAGUAUUGUGGCUAUAUCCGCACCUGUUUUGGUCAACAUGGUGGAUAAAGGGUUCCUGUUAUUUUACAACUAACAGUGGCAAAACUAUUUAGGAAGGUGUACAUGACCCUUGCAGCUCUAUUCAGGUCAUAUGACAAGGGUGCCAAUGGUAUAUUGUCUGACAUGUCGAGCCUUCUGUUCUACAGGAAAUCCCAUUGUUUUAUUCAUCUAGAGAUAAUAAAGCAAUUGGAGAGAGUAAGCAGGAACACAUACAUGAAUGACUAACAGAACUUUAUGGUGGUGUCGUUGUUCUCAAGGUUACGGUGAAUCCAGGAUAAUGUGUAUCUUUUCAGCUGUACCAAAUAUUCAUCCUCUCCUUUAGGAUCGUGUGCCACUAAAUAACUAAGCAUCUGCCGCCAGCCUCCAGCGGGGUGCGGAAGAAGGUGGGCGCGAAGGGGCGGAGCAGGUGCGUGUACUGGAGGAAGGAGGCGGCGGCGCGACUGGGUCAAGGCCAUCGUCCCCGACCUGUCCUUGACCAUCACGGUCGUCCUCGACCUCCUCAACCAGCAUGAGCAAGCGGAGUGGCCUAACCGUUGCCCAGAGGAGCUUCUGGUGCCCGUCUGGAGCUCUUCCCUUCGACUUCGUGGCCUGCUCUGCCUAUUUGUUGUCACCUAGGACACCCGGCAGAGGCACAACAUGCCUUCUUCAAAGAAGACCAUCAGUGCAUGCAUGACUUCCCAGUGGAUAUGUAGAACAUUUAAGGGAGAACUGAGCCAACAAUUUCACAGCCAGGGAUAAUGUCACCAUGCUCCAACAUGCCCUUGUUUCUAGGAGGCUUGAGUGAUUGCUGAAAAUGAGUCAACGAGUAUGUGGGAGUAGUAGCGCGCUCUUCAGCAUAGGGGAGCACGAACCACCGAGACGGAUUCAUCAUCAUCGUUAUCAUCGCGGCAGAGGCAGAGGGUACGGAGGAUCCUAGGUCUCAUCUCUCUCGGAGGAUCAAAUGUAUCUCUCUCUCUCUCUCACCAGCAAUGCCCUUCCUGCAGCCAUACCUGGCCUCCUCCUCUCUCUCUCUCUCUCUCUCUCACCAACAAUUCCCUUCCUGCAGCCAUACCUGGCCUCCUCCAGCCCCGCACUGCCCCUCGCACAUCAACGAUGAUGAUCUGGAUGAACAUUGCAAGGAGGCCUCAAAUUAUUUUUACUGCACUAUAAUAGAUGAGCUUAGUAUAUCAUGUAGUUAUGUCUGUAAACCAUGUUCUAUACAUGAUUUAGCUUUCCAUAUUCAACUCCCCAAAAAUUUAAGCUCAGCUUUAUUCGAUGAUUUUCUUAUGUUUAAUGCAUCAAUUUUCUUUGCAGUACAACUAUAAGGUCUUCUUGUAGGUCUGAUCAUGACAAAUGAAUGCGAGUGGUUAAUGUUACAUUUAGUUCCGAUGUCCUGGCCAAGUCAUGCCAUUAGGAUGUCCAGGCAUAUAUGACAAAAAACUUCCUCUUCGAUCUGAAAUGGGUAAUUAUAACAGUUUUCAUUUGUUGUUUUCUUUUCUCACA